rnacentral:rRNA from 1 species
UACGUAGGGGGCAAGCGUUGUCCGGAAUCAUUGGGCGUAAAGAGCGCGUAGGCGGUCCGGUAAGUCAGCUGUGAAAGUCAGGGGCUCAACCCUUGAAAGCCGGUUGAUACUGUCGGGCUAGAGUCCGGAAGAGGCGAGUGGAAUUCCCGGUGUAGCGGUGAAAUGCGCAGAUAUCAGGAAGAACACCCGUGGCGAAGGCGGCUCUCUGGAACGCAACUGACGCUGAGACGCGAAAGCGUGGGGAGCAAACAGG